GGACUGUAGCUCAGUGGCAGAGUGCUUGCCUAGCAUGUGUGAAGCACUGGGUUCAAUCCUCAGCACCA
rnacentral:tRNA from 1 species